GCACUCAUUUCAGCAGCACGUAUACUAAUAUUGGAACAAUAUAGAAAAGACUAGCAUGGCCCCUGCGCAGCGUUAACAUACAAAUUCAUGAAGCAUUUCAUGUAUUU